rnacentral:rRNA from 1 species
GACGAACCGUGCGAACGUUAUUCGGAAUCACUGGGCUUAAAGGGCGCGUAGGCGGGUUGCCAAGUCUGUGGUGAAAUCCUCCGGCUCAACCGGAGAACGGCCGUGGAUACUGGCGACCUCGAGGGGGGUAGGGGCUUGCGGAACUGUGCGUGGAGCGGUGAAAUGCGUUGAUAUGCACAGGAACUCCGGUGGCGAAGGCGGGUCUCUGGGCAACAACUGACGCUGAGGAGCGAAAGCGUGGGGAGCAAACAGG